AGGCAGCAGUGGGGAAUCUUCCGCAAUGGACGAAAGUCUGACGGAGCAACGCCGCGUGAGUGACGAAGGCCUUCGGGUUGUAAAGCUCUGUUGUCAGGGAAGAACACCUUCCAUGUGAAUAAUGUGGGAGGAUGACGGUACCUGACGAGGAAGCCACGGCUAACUAC
rnacentral:rRNA from 1 species